rnacentral:rRNA from 1 species
AGAAUCAACGCUGGCGGCGUGCCUAACACAUGCAAGUCGCACGAGAAAGUGGAGCAAUCCAUAAGUAAAGUGGCGCACGGGUGAGUAACACGUGAAUUAUCUACCUCCGAGUGGGGAAUAAACUGAGAGAAAUCUUAGCUAAUACCGCAUAACACUUACGAGUCAAAGCAGCAAUGCGCUUGGAGAGGAGUUCGCGGCCGAUUAGUUAGUUGGCGGGGUAAUGGCCCACCAAGACGAUGAUCGGUA